rnacentral:sRNA from 1 species
UGUUCCAUCUUUUAUUACCAGAGGCUUCUAAGUUAGAACUCCAAUACUCAAAGCUUGUCUUUGCUCAUUUUCUCAGCUCUAAUGCUGGCACCUGGUGGUCCGGUGCCAGUCCUGGGAAUGACUGAUUUAAUAUGAAGAUGAAGAAAACUGUUGGCUGAGCAGGGGACUUCCCACCUUUCCCCCACAACAUCAAUAGCACUUCUGUGACAUUGACAGAUGAAGUAGGAGGUAACCUCAGGGAUGGACAUCUUAUUGUAUCUCCAAUUGAGUAUGGCAACAAAGCCUUUCAUCUCCCUGAUGCAUGGCCAAAGGUUGGCAUCCUAAAGGCUGGGCUCACCCUUCGCAGCCCGACAUUAAUGGAGCUGCCUGCUGUCACCCUGG